CCGUUCCGUCCUCCCUCCCGCAGCCGCCCCCAGCCUGCUCGCCAUCCUGUCCCCGGCGCUCGCCAAGCCCGCGCCAGACCGUGGCCAGCCCCGCGCCCGCUCCAGUCCGCCUGCGCGCCGCCCCCUCUCCGCCCACGGCCGGACGGGCAGCCCUGCGCGGACCCCAGCCAGGGACUCCUAGAUGUACUCGUGGGUGGCCAUGGAAGUCACUUCGCUAUCCGGGGCACCCUGGCUCUCCCGCUUCACAGGGUGGAGAUGCUGAAACUGAGGUCCACGCUAUCUUCAGCCCACCUGCACACAGGAAAAGCAUUGGUGGAGGCCAGGCCCCCAGAGGCAGGGAGCUGGUCAGGCCUGGAGAGACAGAUGCAAGGCUCUCAGGUGCCAUGUAGUCUGCAGCAUGGGGAGGGGGAAGCUGCACAGGGCUGCUGCAGAGGACAGACACAGACAUGAGGCCAAUGGGAGGAAGUUCUCAGAUGGAGAUGCCUGCACAAGCGUGAGCUUCUUGGUAGGAGGUGCAGGCCCAGUGUUUGAGAGGGGGUUGACACCCCCUCGGAGAGCAGUGGGUGGGCACUCACCUGUCUUGCUGCUGCCACCAUGGCAUUUCCCCACCUGAGUUUUCCUUGGAAGAAUCAAGCUCCCCUGACGGAUAGUCCGUGAGGUUGAAGGAGGAAUCCAGCGCAGGCCCAGGACCAGGUUUCCCUGGCCAACACUUUUGUUUUUGGCUGUGCUGGGGAUGGAACCCAGGGCUUUCUGCAUACUGGGCAACCCCUUUUUCUGGCUCAGCCUCACAGAUUUGAUUCAAGUCUGUGCAAGGGAGAAGCAGUCAUCUUGGAGCUUCAGGAAACAGAAGCUCUCUUUCCACUGGGUUUAGUAGGCUGUAGCCACACAGAAGUAAGAUGAUAUAAAUGUAGGACAAAGUCCAAACUCCUUAGGAAGGUUCUAGGCCUCUCUGGUCUGCCUGGCUCUAAAGAGGCUGUAGGGCAUCGUGGAGUCCAUUGACCUGGAAAACUCUAGAUUCCAUCUUAGUUUUUUUUCUAGAACAGCAGCAGAGUUGUAAUGAGAGUGACAAGUGACCGAAAGCAGGAAAGUACACUCCCCAAGGCAGCAGGGGAGUGGGCUCUGAGCGAGCUGGCUUAAUAGCAGCAUCUCUGGCCCAAGACCCCCUAGAUUUCAUCUCACUGAGGCCUCUCACCAAAUGAUGUUUCUUCUUCCAGGAAGUGCACAGUGGACCCCCUUUAGAGAGGAGGCGCUCAUAUAAGUUUAUUAAAAGUCAGGCGCAGUGCCAGCAGCCACUUCUCCAGUGCUGGCAGCUUCCCUGUCCCCUAGCCUUUCUAAUGGAGAAAGCAGGGCCUAGCACCACCCAGGGAACAUGACGUCCUUGGGAAGGCACUGCCACUUGGCAUUUGACUGCACAAGCUAGUGUGCUGCUUCCAUCCCCUUUCUCAUCCAUCCAUCCAGGCAGUGCGCUGGGGGCUAGCAAACAGAGGCUGGCUACAGACACCCUGCCAUUAGAGGGCACCUGGGCCAGAAAUAAGUGCAGGUGACCCAGGCCAAAUAGUGCCGUGUGACUCGAUUCCAAGCCUUUAAUUGGAAUUUACUGCUGGGUGACCCAAAUUAUAGGGUAGGAGUCUAAGUGGUUCUGGUAGCCUUCGCUCCUUUGUCUGAAGCAAGACUGCCAGAGAAGAGAGCCAACCUAGAGGACAAUAAGGCCAAAAAAGGAAGAGAACAAGUCGGAGUCUUGAGGACACUAUCUGGGACUCUGGAUCCAGCUGUACUUGAAGCAGUAUCUUUUUAGUUAUGUGAAAAACAAAUUUUGUUUCUCUUGAGUUUAAAUUAGGUUUCUUCUUUUAAAAAAACUUUUUUGUGGAAAUAAGGCUUCAUUUUAUUUACUUUUUAAAAUUGGAGCCAUUUACAUUUUUAAACUUUUAUUGUAGAAACUUUCAAAUGCAUACAAUCAAAAGUUAUGCAACACUCAACUUCGACAAUUCUCAACACAUGGAAAAUAUUGAUUUUUUUCCUCCUACAAUAUUUUAUUUGAAUCCAGGUGCCGGUGGCUCAUGCCUAUAAUCCUAGCUCCUCAGAAGGCAAAGAUCAGGAGGAUCUCAGUUUGAAGCCAGCCCAGGCAAAUAAUUCACGAGACUCUAUCUCAAAAAAACCCAUCACAAAAAAAGGGCUGGUGGAGUGGCUCGCGGUGUAGGCCCUGAGUUCAAACCCCAGUACUGCAAAAAACAAAUCCCAGACACCAUAGCAUUUCAAUUUAAAUACGCUAGUAUUUACUGCUAACACAUAAGGACUUUAAAAAUCUCUUAGAUUGUUGAAUAAAACUACACUAAAUUUAUAGAUGAAUCUGAGG
ensembl:lncRNA